UACGGAGGGUGCAAGCGUUAAUCGGAAUUACUGGGCGUAAAGCGCACGUAGGUGGUUAGGUAAGUAGGAUGUGAAAGCCCAGGGCUUAACCUUGGAACUGCAUCCUAAACUGCCUGGCUAGAGUACAGAAGAGGGAGGUAGAAUUUCAGGUGUAGCGGUGAAAUGCGUAGAGAUCUGAAGGAAUACCGGUGGCGAAGGCGGCCUCCUGGACUGAUACUGACACUGAGGUGCGAAAGCGUGGGUAGCGAACAGG
rnacentral:rRNA from 1 species